ensembl:lncRNA
AUGUGGUGUGUGUCUGUGUGUCAGUUCAUCACUCUUUCAUGUGACACUGACAUGGUGCUGCUCAUCCCCCUCAUCUUUACACUCUUUCUGGAGGUAAAAUCUCAAGGAUUCUCUGAUCAGUUUUGGCUGACAGCAUCUCCAGCAUCAGUUCAGAAAGACUCAAGCGCAGUGCAGCUGAGACAUGAUGAACCUGACGCUCAGUCUGAUUUGAGUAAGAAUGAGCGGCCGGACAUUAAAGUCAUCCAUGAUUCUGAAAAGAGUGAAUUUAGAAUUCUUUGUGACAUACCAGGAUCAGAUGAUGGUGGUUAUACUUGUUUUCUUUCUCUUGGAGAUGAAUAUCCACAAUUUAAAAAGAUGCAAUCUCAUGAACUGUCUGGAAAAACACAGUGUCGUUUUACAGUCUUGGAAUAUGAAUUUUCAAAUAAUCUGAAGUCAGUGGAGAAUAAAGUAGUGAGCUGCAGUUAUUCUCCAAAAAAUGCAUCAUCCAAACGAUCAUAUAGUGAGAAGUACAACCUUACAGCUUUUUUUCCUGUGAAAAUUCAGUCACCACCAACAACAAAGGGAUCAUUAUGUAAGUUCAUCUAA